GAUGAACGCUGGCGGCGUGCCUAAUACAUGCAAGUCGAGCGAACAGACGAGGAGCUUGCUCCUCUGACGUUAGCGGCGGACGGGUGAGUAACACGUGGAUAACCUACCUAUAAGACUGGGAUAACUUCGGGAAACGGGAGCUAAUACCGGAUAAUAUAUUGAACCGCAUGGUUCAAUAGUGAAAGACGGUUUUGCUGUCACUUAUAGAUGGAUCCGCGCCGCAUUAGCUAGUUAGUAAGGUAACGGCUUACCAAGGCAACGAUGCGUAUCCGACCUCAGAGACUGAAAGCCCACACUGGAUCUGAGACACGAACCAGACUCCUGCGAGAGGCAGCAGUGUCGAAUAUUCCGCAAUGGGCGAAAGCCUGACGGAGCAACGCCGCGUGAGUCAUGAAGGUCUUCGGAUCGUAAAACUCUGUUAUUAGGGAAAAACAAAUGUGUAAGUAACUAUGCACGUCUUGACGGUACCUAAUCAGAAAGCCACGGCUAACUACGUG
rnacentral:rRNA from 1 species